AUGAAAUUAAAACCCUUGGCUAGCGAAGAUGACAGUGCACAUGUGUCAACAUUUGCUACUCAAAUGCCUGCAUACGAUGAUAUGGUAGCCAUGAGAGUAGGAUCCAUAGAGUCGACGAUAUACGGGUUCCUUGUGAAGGAGUCCGGAGUAAAAUGUUCAGAGCAAAAGACGGAAUGGUUAUUCGGUGUCCACAAUUUGUCUUUUGUGGAAGUAGAAACCGGGUUCACUCGGAGUGGGGUGCUGGCGGUAACUUCACAUACCGCCUGCCUGGCUCGGUCGCGCGCUGUCUUUGAACAUCUGGCCUCUCGCCACUCGUUUUUUGCUGGCUUUGUAGGGUUUAAUCGUCGUGGGAAAAAACAAGAUAGACAUGUUCUUGAACAAGAAACAGCUCCACCAAAGCCCCCUGUGACAGCGGCUACAAGUUUGCCUCCUACACAAAACAAAGGAGACGUCCACGAUUUCAGUCUGCCAUUUAACACAACAGGUACAGUGAAACUGAAAAGAAGAGUGAAAACCAAACCACCAGUACCUGCAUCAACUCCUUCCCAGCAAGAGACUGUAGGAUCACCUGUGGAUCAGCCUUCAGUUCAGCUUCCAAGUCAUCCUUUAUUAUUCAUUCCCCCGACAUUUUCUCCAACUCUGCAGCAUCUGCUCCCAGUACUCAUACAGCUUUAAUGUCAACCAACUCCAUCACUGCAGCCAUUCUCUUCACCAAUUCUACAUGCUUCCAUGUUAUCAGGGACAUUAACCCAACCAAAUUCCCUAUUGCCAACAUCAUAUUUUGCCCACAGAUACCACAAGAAGAAGCAAC
rnacentral:sRNA from 1 species